UACGGGGGGGGCAAGCGUUGUCCGGAAUCACUGGGCGUAAAGCGCGCGCAGGCGGCGAUCUACGUCUGGGGUGAAAGCCCGGAGCUCAACUCCGGGACUGCCUUGGAUACGGGAUCGCUUGAGGAUUGGAGAGGCAAGGGGAAUUCCACGUGUAGCGGUGAAAUGCGUAGAUAUGUGGAGGAACACCUGUGGCGAAGGCGCCUUGCUGGCCAAUUUCUGACGCUGAGGCGCGAAAGCGUGGGGAGCAAACAGG
rnacentral:rRNA from 1 species